rfam:Ricinus communis cultivar Hale ctg_1100012320560, whole genome shotgun sequence.
GUAUCCAUAGUGUGGGAAUUGCAAUAAAAUUAAUUUGAAGCGAUCUCAUGCUUUACGAAAGGAUUUAGUAUCCUUUUGAUAAAAAAUAGAAAUUUCAGCUCUUAAUUC